rnacentral:rRNA from 1 species
AAGUCGUAACAAGGUCUCCGUAGGUGAACCUGCGGAGGGAUCAUUACUGAGUUCGCCGGUUCAAAGCCCGAUCUCCAACCCUUUGUGAACACAUCUUGUUGCUUCGGGGGCGACCCUGCCGUCCGCGGCAUUCCCCCCGGAGGUCAUCAAAACACUGCAUCCUUACGUCGGAGUAAAAAGUUAAUUUAAUAAAACUUUCAACAACGGAUCUCUUGGUUCUGGCAUCGAUGAAGAACGCAGCGAAAUGCGAUAAGUAAUGUGAAUUGCAGAAUUCAGUGAAUCAUCGAAUCUUUGAACGCACAUUGCGCCCCCUGGUAUUCCGGGGGGCAUGCCUGUUCGAGCGUCAUUUCACCACUCAAGCCUCGCUUGGUAUUGGGCGUCGCGAGUCCCUCGCGCGCCUCAAAGUCUCCGGCUGAGCGGUUCGUCUCCCAGCGUUGUGGCAACUAUUUCGCAGUGGAGUUCGAGUCGUCGCGGCCGUUAAAUCUUUUAAAGGUUGACCUCGGAUCAGGUAGGGAUACCCGCUGAACUUAAGCAUAUCAAUAAGCGGAGGAAAAGAAACCAACAGGGAUUGCCCUAGUAACGGCGAGUGAAGCGGCAACAGCUCAAAUUUGAAAUCUGGCGCAAGCCCGAGUUGUAAUUUGUAGAGGAUGCUUCUAGGUAGCGACCGGUCUAAGUUCCUUGGAACAGGACGUCAUAGAGGGUGAGAAUCCCGUAUGUGACCGGCCCGCACCUUCUACGUAGCUCCUUCGACGAGUCGAGUUGUUUGGGAAUGCAGCUCUAAAUGGGAGGUAAAUUUCUUCUAAAGCUAAAUACCGGCCAGAGACCGAUAGCGCACAAGUAGAGUGAUCGAAAGAUGAAAAGCACUUUGGAAAGAGAGUUAAAAAGCACGUGAAAUUGUUGAAAGGGAAGCGCUCACAACCAGACUUCUGGGCGGUGUUCCGCCGGUCUUCUGACCGGUCUACUCGCCGUCCCGAGGCCAACAUCAUCUGGGACCGCCGGAUAAGACCUUAGGAAUGUAGCUCCCCUCGGGGAGUGUUAUAGCCUGUGGUGAUGCGGCGCGUCUCGGGUGAGGUCCGCGCUUCGGCAAGGAUGUUGGCGUAAUGGUUGUCAGCGGCC